GGCCCUGUGGCUUAGUUGGUCAAAACACCUGUCUAGUAAACAGGAGAACCAGGGUUCAAAUCCCAGCAGAGCCU